AUUUUAGUAUAAGUAUGUCCUAUGCAAUAUUUGGGACAUAUUUAUACUAAAA
rnacentral:pre_miRNA from 1 species